AGGAAAAAGCAAAUAGUAGUACAUCCGCCAUCAGCCAGAACAACAACUACAAAAGAUAUUUCAGUUUACGGGAUCCCCUAUUCUACACCUCCAUGAAAGUAUGCAAGAUAUAUCUAUGUCAGCACCUACCAUAUCCCAACUGGAUCAAA